CAGCCGCCGCGGUAAUGCGUAGGUGGCAAGCGUUGUCCGGAAUUAUUGGGCGUAAAGCGCGCGCAGGCGGAUAGGUCAGUCUGUCUUAAAAGUUCGGGGCUUAACCCCGUGAUGGGAUGGAAACUGCCAAUCUAGAGUAUCGGAGAGGAAAGUGGAAUUCCUAGUGUAGCGGUGAAAUGCGUAGAUAUUAGGAAGAACACCAGUGGCGAAGGCGACUUUCUGGACGAAAACUGACGCUGAGGCGCGAAAGCCAGGGGAGCGAACGGGAUUAGAUACCCCAGUAGUCCCUGUCUCUUAUACC
rnacentral:rRNA from 1 species